GGGUCAGUAGGUUGGUCGUGCCACCGGUACGUACUGGUCUCACUGAUUUCUCCUUCCUGAAGAACCGUAAUGCCAUUAAUUUGGUGUUGCGGGGAAGCAGGACUGUUACUUUGGAAAAAUUAGAGUGUUUAAAGCAAGCUAACGCUUGAAUACAUUAGCAUGGAAUAAUGAAAUAGGACGAUCGAUCCUAUUUUGUUGGUUUCUAGGAUUGACGUA
rnacentral:rRNA from 1 species